rnacentral:rRNA from 1 species
ACACUGAGACUGAGACACGGCCCAGACUCGUACGGGAGGCAGCAGUGGGGAAUAUUGCACAAUGGGGGAAACCCUGAUGCAGCCAUGCCGCGUGUGUGAAGAAGGCCUUCGGGUUGUAAAGCACUUUCAGUUGUGAGGAAAGGUUGGUAGUUAAUACCUGCCAGCUGUGACGUUAACAACAGAAGAAGCACCGGCUAACUCCGUGCCAGCAGCCGCGGUAAUACGGAGGGUGCGAGCGUUAAUCGGAAUUACUGGGCGUAAAGCGCACGCAGGCGGUUUGUUAAGCUAGAUGUGAAAGCCCCGGGCUCAACCUGGGAUGGUCAUUUAGAACUGGCAGACUAGAGUCUUGGAGAGGGGAGUGGAAUUCCAGGUGUAGCGGUGAAAUGCGUAGAGAUCUGGAGGAACAUCAGUGGCGAAGGCGACUCCCUGGCCAAAGACUGACGCUCAUGUGCGAAAGCGUGGGUAGCGAACAGGAUUAGAUACCCUGGUAGUCCACACCGUAAACGCUGUCUACUAGCUGUGUGUGUAUUUUAUACGUGCGUAGCGAAGCUAACGCGCUAAGUAGACCGCCUGGGGAGUACGGCCGCAAGGUUAAAACUCAAAUGAAUUGACGGGGGCCCGCACAAGCGGUGGAGCAUGUGGUUUAAUUCGAUGCAACGCGAAGAACCUUACCUACACUUGACAUGCAGAGAACUUUCUAGAGAUAGAUUGGUGCCUUCGGGAACUCUGACACAGGUGCUGCAUGGCUGUCGUCAGCUCGUGUCGUGAGAUGUUGGGUUAAGUCCCGCAACGAGCGCAACCCUUGUCCUUAGUUGCCAGCAUUAAGUUGGGCACUCUAAGGAGACUGCCGGUGACAAACCGGAGGAAGGUGGGGACGACGUCAAGUCAUCAUG